rnacentral:lncRNA from 1 species
UGCUUGGCUGGUACAAGGUAAUUGUUCCAGAGCAGGUAUGGCUCUAUAAAUCUGAAUCAACUGCUAGGCUAGGGUUUUACAUGUGAUGAAAGCAUGCUAGCUUUCAAUUGGGAUUGCUAGAGGACUAGUCUCUCUCUCUCUCUCUCUCUCUCUCUCUCUCUCUCUCACACACACACACACACACACACACAUUCUGUGGGGUUAGCCUUCCAGGAACUCACCUGAUGCCAAUCCAAGGAAGACUCCUUAUCUCGAGAGGGGAAUGGGGAGCCUGUGUGAUGAGAGAGGGGCAGGGCAGCAAACUCACCUGUUUACUCAAAGGAUGAGAGUCAAGUGCUCAAGUGGUGGCGAGUGAUUAUCAAGAAACAAUCUUCUAUGUAGUUCAGCCUUGCACUUAAGAUUGAUCUCCUGCCUCAGCCUACCAAGAACUGGUAUUACAAGUGUAUUUUACAUUUAUUUAUUUUUGGUGAGGAGUGGACAUGAGUACCACAUUGUGUUUGUUGAGGUUCUCUCUUCCCACCAUGUGGGUUCUGGGAUUAAACUCAGGUCAUCAAAUUUGGCAACAAGCACUUUUACCAGCUGAGUUAUCUCGACAGCCCAUUUUCUUUUCUAAAUGUGCCCCCAGCCUGGUCCUGAGCCAGCAGCAGUUUAACCUGUUGUCCUGGAACAUAUCUUGGAGCAGGCAGUCAAUAUGAGUGAAUGAUAAGCCAGACUUGUCUGAAGUGGAGAAUUUUGACAAAUUAAAAUUGAAGAAAACUAAUAAUG